UCUGGUUCUUCAGUAAAAAUUACUUAUAGAUCAGUAUGAAAUCAAUUACAACAAUGCAAUCAUCAAUAAUAAUUCUAGCAAAAAUUUGAUUUGCUAAAAAAUAAGUCGAACAAUGAAAUUGGAACACUUGUAACAAGUACAUAAAAGAUAUUGAGGACUAGAGGCCGUUAAACAAUUCAUAUAUGUGAAUAGAACCCCAUAUAUGUGACGCCCCCAAAAUUAGGUAUACAUCACCCAUCUUGAGUCGCCAGAUACAUGGUACAGAAUUCAAAUACAACUUAAUAAUACAACUGUCGUGUACAAUACGACAAAACAUAAACUGUGAGUUUGAAUACAAAUAUUGUCUACUANNNN
rnacentral:lncRNA from 1 species